UGAAACCAAGAAGCAGAUUCUGGUGAUCUUUCAUGAGUUCUUCCACCCUUUCAAUGACAAUAGCAGUAUCAACCCUAAAAAGAGACUUGGUAACAUCAGAAUCAAUUCACAUACAGGUUUGUCGUUGUGUGCUGACUGAGAAAACACUAUAAUUCAUACCUGCGAGCUCUAAAAUCAUUCAAAAGCUUAAUAAGUUGGGCAUAUUUUGCAGGUUCCUCAUGAAAUGCUUUCUUCACAGCAGUGAGGUAUGAAGUCGCAUCAUCCAUAGUUGCCCCAUUUCCCAACUCUUUGCUAGCCUCAGGUGGG
rnacentral:lncRNA from 1 species